UGGGGAAUCUUGGACAAUGGGCGCAAGCCUGAUCCAGCCAUGCCGCGUGAGUGAUGAAGGCCUUAGGGUUGUAAAGCUCUUUUUGCCGGGGACGAUAAUGACGGUACCCGGAGAAUAAGUCCCGGCUAACUUCGUGCCAGCAGCCGCGGUAAUACGAAGGGGACUAGCGUUGUUCGGAAUCACUGGGCGUAAAGCGCACGUAGGCGGAUUUGUAAGUCAGGGGUGAAAUCCCGGGGCUCAACCUCGGAACUGCCUUUGAUACUGCGGAUCUCGAGUCCGAUAGAGGUGAGUGGAAUUCCUAGUGUAGAGGUGAAAUUCGUAGAUAUUAGGAAGAACACCGGUGGCGAAGGCGGCUCACUGGAUCGGUACUGACGCUGAGGUGCGAAAGCGUGGGGAGCAAACAGGAUUAGAUACCCGCGUAGUCCCUGAGCGGGCUGGCAAGGCGCAU
rnacentral:rRNA from 1 species